UUGUAUAUCCUACUUAAAAUAUAAAGUGACCUGAACUUAUUUCAGCUUACUCUGUUGAGUUUCUCACUUAAACCUAGUAAAGACAACUUUCUACUGAGGCAAGUAAACAAACUUGUGAGCAGCAAGUUACCUAUACUUUGAAGUAUGAGUGAGCAAGAAGCGUCUGCUCAACCCGGAGAAACUCGGCAGCUUUCGGCCCCAUCCGGCAUUUCUCGUUGAAUGCACAUGCGCAGUUGCCCCUGACGCCAUGUUUGAAUGAGGCGGUCAAAUCUCAACAAGCGGGACGAGACAUACUGCUGCAUAGUGUCACGGCUUUGAUUUCUGAAGACAGAAACCUAGCUAUGCAUUGGAAGUAGUACAGAUGUUACUGCAAAGCAAACAGCUGUCCUCCGUGGCCUUCCUGUCAUCCUUGGAGAUGAGAACACAGACUUCUUCAAGACAUGCUUUGACUGCGAUGACACAGGCAUGUCUCACAUCCCCAUUGGAAUCCUGACCAUUGUUCCUGAGGACGAACAGCUCUCCCUUGACUCACUGCACCUUCAGACUUCAGGUACCGCAAUCAUUUUGGAAGGAAGAAUUGUGAUGGAUGACUUUGAAAAUCUUCCAGAUGCCAUGUGCUUGCUCUUUGGACUUACUUACACCCUGAAUUUGGAGUACCCUCAACAGCUGAAGUACACCUUUGACUUCAUUCAAAGGGUGCUUCUCUCACUUGGACAUAAAUCCCUAAAACCAAAAAUACAGUCAUUCAAAAAUCUUCUGAUGCAAUGAGUGAAUUUAAUCAUGAUGUGAAUGUGAUGUGACAUCUUGGGUCACAUUGAUACCUUUACCUUAUUGGAAAAGUGAUACUUUUUUCUUGUUUGAGCCUUUUUUGUAGGAAGGAGCCUCAUCGCCCUUUUUAGACUACUGAAUGGUUUUUAUGUUCAUGAGGAGAAAAAUGAACACCUACUUUCCUUUUAGCUUUUGUUUUUCCUUUUGUGUUGAUGCUGAAAUGAUUGUGGUGAUAUUGAUUACCAGCAUCAGGUUCUUUAGCAAGUUAUCUCUGACUUAAUAUAUGUUGUAAGUCAAUCUCUACUGCAGUUCUGAACUCAACCACUAAGAAUUUAAAUCAGAAAGCUUUUAGCAGUUUUUAGCGGGAGCUGGCUCAAACAUAAGAAUUACAGUUGCACAUUCAGGUGAAAUAAUGAUUUUAUUUUGCAAUCAUGCAAUAGGUGGAUUGUAAACAGUUGAGCUAUGUCUGCUGUUCACUUUAUUGAUGUUAAGAUAAAUGUUAGGCCCUGCAAUUACUGAGUUUAUCUAUAGUUCACACCAUAGUCAACAGAGAUAUUAAGCAGGAAUUCUCAAAGUUUUAAUGACUGAGGGCUGUUUUAGGGACUCAAUAUUAGAUUGAAGGCCACCCAAGAAAAAACUCGUGUCACUUUUUUUCUGAAAAAACUAGUCUUUUAUAUUACAUGCUUUCUAUGUAAUACAAAAAAAACAUUUUUUAAUAAUUUUACAUGGUUUUAUGACUUUUUGGCAAUUUCCUUCAAUUUUUGCAUUACGGCGUGAUUUAGCGUAUUUUCCACUUUGUAUUGUGAUAUACUAUAUUGGGGUUACAAGCCAAAUAAGGUUGUUCUAACUGUUAAUCAAAAAUUUUAUUGGAAGCAUGCAUUUCAUGUCACCUUUACUCAGUGGGUUGCCAUUGUCCCACAGACUGUAUGUAAGGUGUGUUCUGAACAAAAAAAGUUAAAUUAUUAAACUUUGUUUCCAUUCAAA